UCUGGUAAAACUAUCCCUUAUUCAUAUGAAAAUAUCCCACAUUAGGUUAGGUUGUUGGGUAUGAGUCCUUGCAUGUGACAGGCACACAUCUUUUCCUGUCUAUAAAAAAGGUCAUGAUCGCUGGUACAUGAUGCACCAUGAAAUAAUUAAGGUCACAAGAUCUGUCAGUUAAAAUGAGUGGGCAGGAAAAUAGCUUCUGAUCGGUUACACAGCACUGAAAGUCAUGACAAAUCAAUUUAGCUGUUCUAGUGUCCAAACUGCAUACAGAACUUCAAAAAUUGAUGAACGCAUUGCCAAGGUAUAGGCAACUAGCCGCAUUCGUGGAACAUUCAGGAGGAGAAUCCAUUUACCGCAUAGCAACAGGCCUUUAUAUCAGAUGUUGGCCUUGAUGCGUAGGCCUACUGGUUGAUGAUUGGUUGGUAAAUGCUGUAAAUUAGCUUCUAAAGUCUAUAUAAACUUCAUUCUUUUUACUCAGUUGAUACCCUUAGCAAUGACUCUAAACUUUACCCUCUUGGCAGACGUGUACGAUAUCUAAUUAACGUCAAACUGCUGCCGGAGACAGCUAAAUUGAAUAGCGGAGCCGCUGCAAGAUAUACCACCUGUGUCGCGAGAGGACCCAGCUUUUACCGCAGGCUAUCCUGCCCAUGAUCCUGCCCAAGGGUCUCUGUCCCUGUCUCUCCACCUAUGCUGGACACUUCUGAGCAAAGAGUUGAAGGAUGAGCUUCAUCUACACAACAGUUGGCGUUCAAACUACUCAAUGUGACACUGUACUCAACUAGCAUGCGUCACCUUUUUGAUGUAAAAAAGUAUGUAGGCCGUCUUCUCCCUGUCUUUGAGGACGGCCUCCUCAGAUCCCACCGUGACGGAGUGGUCACUGUAUUUGACCCACUGGCCUGGCUGUUCCUCACAGUCGGCUAUGUAGUGGCCUGCCAUCGUCCAAUCAUAAGGAACAGGGAGGGUCUCUGUCCCUGUCUCUCCACCUAUGCUGGACACUGCUGAGCAAAACGUUGAAGGAUGGGCUUCAUCUACACAACAGCCAGCGGUCAAACUACUCAAUGUGACACUGUACUCAACUAUCAUGUGACACAGAAUAAUCAGAGACAUGAAAUGCUUGUCAAAAGGUAUGAA